UUGUAUUUUAUUUAUCAAUUGUAUUUAAUUUAUCAAAAAUGUAUUCAGUAACAACCAUGGGCUAUGCCCACAGUUGAACCCAUGUAUCCACGUAAAUGUUGUUUUUUAACUAGUUAUUUUUAUAAGACAGCCUCAUGACUAAUCAAGUAGCAUUUUUAGCUUGAUCUCCUGUGUUAAGUAGUAGGCUCGACUGUAGAAGCCUUUUGGCUGUUUAAAAAUAUCAAAUUCAUUUUCAAAGAAUAAAGAUUUUUUUUCCCCCCAGAAAACAGUGGUUCUGAAAGCAAUCCCAAAGCUGUGUCUUAGGAACAGUGGCUGUAUGAUCUGAUUUUGAAGUAGCUUCCUAGUAUACUUUGAGGUAUACUCUUCAUUUGGAAGAAAAAUUUUUGAUAUAACAAUUUAUUUUCAGUCUCACUAUUUUUAUAGAUACACCUAUUAAGAAUAUACAUCAAGGGGUGCCUGGGUGGCUCAGUCAGUAAAGCAGCCGACUUCAGCUCAGGUCAUGAUCUCACAGUUAGUGAGUUUGAGCCCCGUGUCGGG